CUUGGAUGUCUUCAUGCUCUAUCUCAACUAACGGCAUCUGUAAAAUUUUCUGAACUGUUUUCGCUUGAAAGGUAUAUUAAUCAAAUCCUCCCUCCAUUUCCUAUUUGAAUUAUCAAUGAGAUCUGAAACUAAUUAUAGUUCCCCAUUAUUUGAUCUGCUUUGUCCUUCAACUCUGUCAAUUACCUAUAUCCAACAGUCCUCCCAAAUAGAGAUUUUGUCUCCCCUACCUACUCUCCAGCACAAUCCUUUUUGGAGUAGACUUUUUGCUGCCCAAAUACUCCGCCAGGUGAGUGAAGGUAAAUUCCCCAAUUCUGCCUUAAGAAAACAUGAUCGUGGAUAAUAUUUUGCUUUUAGAACUUUGGCUAAUAAAGAAUUUGGAUUAUUAAUAAGUCGCCAUCCUUUUUUUUCCAGUAAUAAAAUAUUAAAUUGAGCAAGAUUUCUAAAACCCAAGCCACCGUUUUCUUUCAAGGAACAAAGAUUUUUCCAGGUGCACCAAUGGAUUCCCCUUUUCCCAUGUCCUUUCUGCCACCAGAACUUGACUAUGGUACCCUCCAUAUCGUCGCAUAGUGCUUUAGGUAAUAAAAAACAUGCCAUCGUGUAAGUUAGAAUAGCCUGAAGAAUAGCCUUUAUGAAUACUUCUUUCCCUCCCUGCGAUAAUAAUCUAAUGCUCCAAUUAUCAAAACAUUUUUUUAUUUUGUCUUUCAAAUUCCGAAAAGAUUCUUUUUUCCUCUGACCCACCAUUAUAGGCAAUCCUAAACAACGUUCUGGUUCAUUAGAGCUUCGUACCCCCGAAAGAUUGACAACUAAUAUUUUAUCCUCCUCCAUUGUAUUCUUGCUGAAAAAAAAAGUUGAUUUAUCAAAAUUAACACAUUGUCUUGAGCAAGACUUGUAUUCGUAUAGAAUGUUCAUGAAAAGAUUAGCUCUCCUGCUCGUUGCUUCUCCAAACAGAAUGUAAUAGUCUGCAAAUAAUAAAUGGGAUAUCUGCGGGCCAUUUCUACUGAUCCUUACUCCUUUUAGAAGACCCUUGGUUGUUGCUAGUCUCAAUAGGCUUGAUAGCCCUUCUCCACAUAAAAGGAAUAAAAACGGGCUAAGUGGAUCCCCUUGUCUAAGUCCUCUAGCUGGGCAGAAUUUUUCUCCAAUAUUUCCAUUGAUAAUUACUGAAUAAGAGACUGUAGUAACACAAUUCAUGAUAGUAUUUACCCAACUUUGAUCAAACCCCAUUUUUAGCAUUAUCCUGUUUAAGAAAUCCCAUUUCACUCUGUCAUAUGCUUUACUCAUAUCAAGUUUAACAGCCAUAUACCCUUUUUUCCCCAAUCUCUUUUGUUUUAGCUUGUGUAAUAUUUCAUAGGCUAAUAGCACAUUAUCCGAAAUCAAUCGAUCUGGCACCAAAACACUUUGCGCCUCAUCAACACAUUUUCCAAUGACUCCACUUAAUCGAUUUGCUAUAUAGCCUUUGUAAUGAUUUUAUAGAGAACAUUACAUAGGCUAAUUGGCCUGAAUUGUGACAUAUUAAUGGGACUAGGAAUUUUUGGAAUAAGUACUACAUUUGUAGAAUUAAUUGGACUUACCUACCUAACGUCGUUUAAUAUCUGUAAGUAAAAGGUGGUGACAUCAUCCCCAACUAUUUGCGAACACUUCUAAUAAAGAGGGCUGGAAAACCAUCUUCUCCUGGUGCCUUCGUUGGUCCCAUGGCAAAAACUGCUUCCCUAAUUUCAUAUUUGGUAUAUACUGCUGUCAACUUCUGAUUGUCUUCCUCAUAGAUACACCAUUCAACCCCUUUCUAAUAUGUGAUCAUACUUCCCCCUUCCUUCUUUUGAAAACAACCUUUUGAAGUAAGAUCGUGCUACACCUUCCAUAUCUUGCAAGUCCCCCAUCUCUUUUCCAUCUUCAUUUUUUAGCUUACGAAUGAGAUUCUUGUUCCUUCUCUGUGACGCUUGGCCAUGAAAAAAAGAUGUAUUCCUAUCCCCAUAUUUUAUCCAAUCUAUUUGAGCCCUCUGUUCCCAGUAACAUUCUUCUUUUUCAAACUCAAAAUUUAAAUUGAUUUUCGUAUCAAUCAAUUCCUAAAAAGUCUUAUCAUAUCUUUCUUCCUCGGCCAGCUCCAUUAGUUUCCUUAUGAGAACCUGCUUUGUCUUCUUUCUUUCAUUUUAGAUUUUCUCAGCCCACCUUUGUAAUCCUUUUUUCAAAAAAUCCAGUUUUUGUACCAGCUCUCCUAAUGAUUUCUCCCACAAGCUCUUAACUUCAUUAUCAAAAGACUCUUCCAAGGACCACCAAGCUUUAAAUUUAAAAUUAUAGCUCCUUCUUCGUUCUUCAUGCCUCAUCGUGUUAAUAAGAAGUUGACAGUGAUCUGAAAACGAGUGCACUAAAUGCUGAACUCUCACAUCUUGAAACAUAUUAAUCCAUUACGUAUUAGCAACUCAUCUGUCUAAUCUUUCUUGUAUGUUCGUCUCCGGUAAAUUUUCUCUUUCCCAAGUGAACCAGCUGCCUUCAUAAUCCAUAUCGUACAAAUGACAUUCCUCGAGUGUUCUUCGAAACAAUUCCAUUCUCCUCUCAUCUCUAGGCAAUCCUCCUUUCUUUUCAAAACCAUACAUAAUUUCAUUGAAAUCACCAGCAACAAACCAUGGGAAAUCCUUAUUAGUAGCCAGACUUUUCAGAACAGCCCAUGAAUCAUUUCUAUCCUGCACAUAUGAGGAUCUAUAGAGAAACUACUCAACAUUAUAUCAACCUCAUUUCUCCAUGCUAAGCACAAUCCUUCUCUCGUAUCUUCUGGUUCAACUUCAAUGUCGUUCGUAUAACCACAUCUUCCACGAACUCGUUCCAUCUGCUGUCUUCCUAGUUUUGUCUCCAUAAAGAAGACUAUUUAGGGAUUAUGCAACUUCAGCAUCUGCUGAAGUCUUUUAACCAUCCGUAGUCUCCCCAAGCCACGGAUGUUCCAACUUAUUAUUUUCAUUGUGUCCGGUCGGCUUGCCUCUUGGAAGCCGACGAUGAUAAAAGGUUGAAUUCCAUCAUUUUUUCUAUUUCUUGUAUUUGUAUUAUCUCUUUCUGCGUUAAUGAAAAGAUCUUCCAUCUCCCCCCUGUUUCGCUUUUUCCCUUCCUCCCCAACUAAGGUCUCAUCUUCUAAAUCAUGUUCUAUUGCCAUAUUCAUCUGACUCGAUCCAAAUUUUCCCUCUCGCCUUUCUACAGAAUUGGAUCAAUAACCUUUCCCCUUCGUUCUUUUUUAUUUCCAUCCCCAUGUCUUGAUCCUCUGGAUCAAUUUUCCACCCAUCUUCCUUCCCCUUUUCCUUCUUUCUCUUCUCGUAGCCAUAUACUAUUCAUUGAAAGGGCUCUUCGAGAUUGCACUCGCAAUGAUAAAUCCCAGCCCAAUUCAUCUGUAUCUGCCCCUGUCAUCAUUUUUAUCUCGCAGAAGGAAUCGUUAUACCCCAAUCUUCCACAAUAGAAACAAAAAAGCGAUAAUCAUAUUUAAACUUGACAUAUGACCUAACUCCAUUGCAUAAAACCUGCUUCUUCCUUUUCAGAGGCUUCCUAACAUCGAUCUGUACUCUUAACCUCAUAUAAUUACGAUUUUCCUUUCCUAGAUUUGAGGUAUCAUAUUCCAGGAAGACACCUAAAAAAUUACCAAGUUGGAUUACUAAUUUUUCAGAGAAUAAUCCAAUAGGAACAUCAUGAAUUUGGACCCAAAAAGGAAUACAAAUGAGCGGUACUUUUAAUGGAUCUUCGCCUCUUUCCAACUUGUUCAAUAAUAGUAGGUGGUUAUUAAAAGGCAAUGGUAAACCUUUCAGAACCCUUUCCAUAUCCAUAUAAUGAUAAAAUUGAAACAGAUACCUUUUUUCCCCCAAAUCUCUAAUUUUGACCCCAUAAACAGGGUGCCACAAGUUUGCCAUAGUGUUUUUCAUGGCUGGAAAGUGAAUAACACUUGCUGUUAAAAAACAUCCCACAAGCUGGAACUCUCCCUCUUCACUUUGAUUACCCGGAUCUACCUAAAUCUGUAGUAAUUCUUCUUCUUUCUCGUUAAUUGAUAAUUGUGCUAAUUCAUUCUCCAUGACUGCAGGUUUGAUUACCAGAAUAACACAAGCACCACUUUUCCCAGACUUCAGAACAAGAAAAACCAGAAGCGUAUAGAUCAAUUGAUAAAACAAAACAUAGACGAAACAAGAAAAAAAAGACAAAACUCGUGCCAGCGGCGAUAGACCUAAGCGUGCUAUGGCAGCAGACAAUAGUCCUCGAUUUUUU
rnacentral:lncRNA from 1 species